GACGAACGCUGGCGGCGUGCUUAACACAUGCCAGUCGAACGGAAAGGCCCUGCUUUUGUGGGGGGCUCGAGUGGCGAACGGGUGAGUAACACGGGAGUAACCUGCCCUUGACGUUGGGAUAACUUCAGGAAACUGGGGCUAAUACCGGAUAGGAGCGCCUGCUGCAUGGGGGGGGUUGGAAAGUUUCGGCGGGUGGGGAUGGACGCGCGGCUUAUCAGCUUGUUGGUGGGGGAGUGGCUUACCAAGGCUUUGACGGGUAGCCGGCCUGAGAGGGUGACCGGCCACAUUGGGACUGAGAUACGGCCCAGACUCCUACGGGAGGCAGCAGUGGGGAAUAUUGCACAAUGGGCGGAAGCCUGAUGCAGCAACGCCGCGUGCGGGAUGACGGCCUUCGGGUUGUAAACCGCUUUCGCCUGUGACGAAGCGUGAGUGACGGUAAUGGGUAAAGAAGCACCGGCUAACUACGUG
rnacentral:rRNA from 1 species